CAGUCGCCGCGGGAAUACGUAGGGUGCAAGCGUUAAUCGGAAUUACUGGGCGUAAAGCGUGCGCAGGCGGUUUGUUAAGACAGAUGUGAAAUCCCCGGGCUUAACCUGGGAACUGCAUUUGUGACUGGCAAGCUAGAGUCUGGCAGAGGGGGGUGGAAUUCCGCGUGUAGCAGUGAAAUGCGUAGAUAUGCGGAGGAACACCGAUGGCGAAGGCAGCCCCCUGGGCCAACACUGACGCUCAUGCACGAAAGCGUGGGGAGCAAACAGGAUUAGAGACCCCUGUAGUCCCUGUCUCUUAUAC
rnacentral:rRNA from 1 species